UUGAACUGAAGAGUUUGAUCCUGGCUCAGAUUGAACGCUGGCGGCAUGCCUUACACAUGCAAGUCGAACGGCAGCACGGACUUCGGUCUGGUGGCGAGUGGCGAACGGGUGAGUAAUACAUCGGAACGUGUCCUGGAGUGGGGGAUAGCCCGGCGAAAGCCGGAUUAAUACCGCAUACGCUCUGUGGAGGAAAGCGGGGGAUCUUUCGGGACCUCGCGCUCAAGGGGCGGCCGAUGG
rnacentral:rRNA from 1 species